rnacentral:misc_RNA from 1 species
ACUCCAGAUUGCUGAGGAUGCACAUGUCGGCACAAUUGUCUUCAAUGGAAUGCUAGGAGGAUAGAUGAAAGGCACUCUGUCGCCUCUAAAAUUGAGUGACGAUCUUAGUUCUAAAUAACGGCUUUGUAUAUAUUGGUUAAAGUCUCCUCCUUGUUUAUCAGAUCUGUAUGUUGCAGCUUCUGCGUUAAUCAAAUGUUGCACUAUCGUGCUUGCUGUUGUCCUUUAGUUCCAAAAGCUUGGUUGCGUGAUGGAGUGUUCUUCAUGAGUUCGAAAAAUGUUAGGCGGAUGCCUUGUUGUUUGCUUGUGGAAUUAUUUUUUUUUAUCAUUAAGUUGAGCAUGCAAAUAAACCAUUGGCUUUAAAAUUAGAGCAAGACAUUGCUCUGGAUUAGUGGAGAGAAGCAAUCAAAUGAACGAAGGAGAAGAUGAAUAAAAGAGUUUUUUAUGUUUUCGUUUGAAA